GACGAACGCUGGCGGCGUGCCUAACACAUGCAAGUCGAACGAGGUCCAAGGGAGCUUGCUCCCUGACGACCUAGUGGCGAACGGGUGAGUAACACGUGAGAAACCUGCCUCGGAGUGGGGAAUAACUCGGGGAAACUCGAGCUAAUACCGCAUACCUUCACAUGAUCGCAUGGUCGAGUGAAGAAAGAAUUUCGCUCUGAGAGGGUCUCGCGGCCUAUCAGCUUGUUGGUGGGGUAACGGCCUACCAAGGCAACGACGGGUAGCUGGUUUGAGAAAACGAUCAGCCACACUGGGACUGAGACACGGCCCAGACUCCUACGGGAGGCAGCAGUGGGGAAUCUUGCGCAAUGGGCGAAAGCCUGACGCAGCAACGCCGCGUGCGGGAUGACGGCCUUCGUGGUUGUAAACCGCUUUCAGCAGGGACGAAAAUGACGGUACCUGCAGAAGAAGCCCCGGCUAACUACGUGCCAGCAGCCGCCGUAACAC
rnacentral:rRNA from 1 species